rnacentral:rRNA from 1 species
ACGCUCGACACCUACGCGAGGCAGCAGUAGGGAAUCUUCCACAAUGGGCGCAAGCCUGAUGGAGCAACACCGCGUGAGUGAAGAAGGGUUUCGGCUCGUAAAGCUCUGUUGUUGGAGAAGAACGUGCGUGAGAGUAACUGUUCACGCAGUGACGGUAUCCAACCAGAAAGUCACGGCUAACUACGCGCCAGCAGCCGCGGUAAUCUGAGCGGGCUGGCAAGGC